rnacentral:rRNA from 1 species
UACGUAGGGUGCGAGCGUUGUCCGGAAUUAUUGGGCGUAAAGAGCUUGUAGGCGGUUUGUCGCGUCUGCUGUGAAAUCUCAAGGCUCAACCUUGAGCUUGCAGUGGGUACGGGCAGACUAGAGUGUGGUAGGGGAGACUGGAAUUCCUGGUGUAGCGGUGAAAUGCGCAGAUAUCAGGAGGAACACCGAUGGCGAAGGCAGGUCUCUGGGCCACUACUGACGCUGAGAAGCGAAAGCAUGGGGAGCGAACCGG